rnacentral:rRNA from 1 species
GACGGGGGAUGCAAGUGUUAUCCGGAAUCACUGGGCGUAAAGCGUCUGCAGGUGGUUUCCUAAGUCCACUGUUAAACCUUGAGGCUCAACCUCAAAUCUGCAUUGGAAACUAGGAGACUUGAGUUAUGAUGAGGGGUAGAGGGAAUUUCCAGUGGAGCGGUGAAAUGCGUAGAUAUUGGAAAGAACACCGAUGGCGAAAGCACUCUGCUGGGCCGACACUGACACUGAGAGACGAAAGCUAGGGGAGCAAAUGGG